GCCGUCGGAAGGCCCCGCCGUAGGGGGCGGAGUUAUCGCCGCCCCCCAUCUCUUGGAACAGCUGCACCUUCUUAAGCCCAGAGCCUCUGGCUGCCCCUCAUUCGUCUCUUCUUCCAGUCUUCCGCGCGAUGGCCUCGGCACUGAGCUAUGUCUCCAAAAUCAAGUCCUUCGUGAUCUUGUUCCUCACCCCGCUCCUGCUGCUGCCACUCAUCAUUCUGAUGCCUGCCAAGUUUGUCAGGUGCGCCUAUGUCAUCCUCCUCAUGGCCAUUUACUGGUGCACAGAUGUCAUUCCGGUGGCUGUCACCUCCCUCUUGCCUGUCUUGCUCUUUCCACUCUUGCAGAUACUGGACUCUAAGCAGGUCUGUGUCCAGUACAUGAAGGAUACCAACAUGCUGUUUCUGGGAAGCCUCAUAGUGGCUGUGGCUGUGGAACGCUGGAACCUGCAUAAGAGGAUUGCCCUGCGCACCCUGCUCUGGAUAGGGGCCAAGCCUGCACGGCUGAUGCUGGGCUUUAUGAGUGUCACUGCCUUCCUGUCCAUGUGGAUCAGCAAUACAGCCACCACGGCCAUGAUGGUGCCCAUUGUGGAGGCCAUGCUGCAGCAGAUGGAAGCCACAAGAAUAGCUACCAAGACCAGCCUGGAGGCACUGGAGCUGGUGGACAAGGGCAAGGCCAGCGAGUUGCCAGGAAACCAAGGGAUUUUUGAAGGAUCUGCCAUGGAGAAGCAGGAAGACCAGUACAGGAAAAGCAUGUGCAAGGCCAUGAACCUGUGUGUGUGCUACGCAGCCAGCAUUGGGGGCACAGCCACCCUGACCGGGACAGGACCCAAUGUGGUGCUUCUGGGCCAGAUGCAAGAAUUGUUUCCUGGCAGUAAGGAUCUCUUGAACUUUGCCUCUUGGUUUGGAUUUGCCUUCCCCAACAUGCUGAUAAUGUUGCUGCUUUCCUGGUUGUGGCUGCAGUGCAUUUAUAUGAGAUUCAGUUUUAAAAACUCCUGCAGCUGUGGAGUAGAGAAGAAUAAGGAGAAGGCUGCCUACAAGGUGCUGCGAGAGGAGUACCAGAAGCUGGGGCCCUUCUCCUUUGCGGAGACCAAUGUAAUGAUCUGCUUCCUCCUGCUCAUCAUCCUGUGGUUCUCCCGGGACCCAGGCUUCAUGCCCGGAUGGCUAUCACUUGCCUGGGUGGAGGGUGAGACAAAGUACGCCUCUGAUGCUACUGUAGCCAUCUUUGUGGCCAUCUUGCUUUUCAUUGUGCCUUCAGAGAAGCCCAAGUUCAAUUUCUGCAGCCAGACGGAGGAAGAAAGGAAAACUCCAUUUUAUCCCCCAGCCCUGCUGGAUUGGAAGGUGACCCAAGAGAAGGUGCCAUGGGGCAUCGUGCUGCUCCUGGGGGGCGGAUUUGCUCUGGCAAAAGGAUGCGAGGCCUCAGGACUCUCCGAGUGGAUGGGAAAGCAGAUGGAGCCCUUGCAAACAGUGUCCCCGGCAGCCAUCACCUUGAUCUUAUCCUUGCUUGUUGCUGUGUCCACUGAGUGUACAAGCAACGUGGCCACCACCACCCUAUUCCUGCCCAUCUUUGCCUCCAUGUCUCGUUCCAUCGGCCUCCACCCGCUGUACGUCAUGCUCCCCUGCACCCUGAGUGCGUCCUUUGCCUUCAUGUUGCCUGUGGCCACUCCGCCUAAUGCCAUCGUGUUUGCCUAUGGACACCUCAAGGUUUCUGACAUGAUGAAAACAGGACUAAUGAUGAACUUGAUUGGAAUCUUGUGUGUGUUUUUGGCAGUCAACACCUGGGGACGGGCCAUAUUUGACUUGGAUCAUUUCCCUGACUGGGCUAAUGUGACACAUAUGAAGACUUAGGAGCCACCAGACCAAGCCCACACAACCCCUUCCCUUCUAAGGACUGCAAAGCUUCUGGCAUGCCUUGCGCAGAACUUUGGGGCUUGUACCCCAAAGUGACCCAGUGAUGCCCACACCCCUCCAAGACCCAGCCAACAGCCCAUUUUUUCCUCCAGACCCGGAUUCAGAGAUGGUGAUGGGUGACUGGAGGGUAGACUCUGAAGUGAGGGGAGCCCCUCCACAGGUUCAGGGCUCAUGUUUCCAGGGCCUUGUCAUCAUCUCUGAGAUGGGUAGCCUGGAGAGGAACUGGGAUGCAAGCUUCUAUAUCAUAUGCCCUCUAGUGGCCACCAGGCAGACCCUACACUGGGUUCUGGUUCUCACCUGCUGAGUCCCAGUGGGGACACAUGGGGAUUGAUCUCCAAGAUGGGAGCUAAGAAAAUAACCUACCAGUGCCUGCACCUCUUUUGGCUGCCUCAUAUCAUCUCUGUCACUCUGAAGGGCACCACCCAACUAGGACAGAGUGGUCUUGGGUGGCCUCCCACAGCUGGAGGGAGAGUGAGAGCCAGCGCCUCCUGGGGACUUUCAGACUCCUGUCUGGCACCACCACCAAAGGAUGAGCAAUUUGGGAGGUGCCAACUUCGGGAUGAUGCCUGCUUCCCUUCCUGUAGCUCACUCCUGGCCAACCCCCCGCUUCCUUACCUUGUUCCAUUUUAACUAACCUCUUGGACCCCAGCUUUCUAAUAAGCCUCCUUCAACUCCUGGGUCCCUUUGUUGUCUGGGCCUGCAGCUGCUUAAAUCACCUUGUAGGGGCCCCAGGGUCCCCCCUUUUCUCCAAGGCGGGUCAGUUUGGCUCUUCUGGGAAAUACUUUUCCUGCCACCCCACACAGCUGGGAUCACACUCCAAGUAUGAGCAGCGUUGACUCUUUGGGGACUACAGUGGGGUCUCUAGGUCAUCACUCAACUGCAGACCCAGAGUGGACACGGCAGUUAAUUUCCAAUAGCUGCAUCAGCUCAGAGUUAGUCAUGCUGAAGUCUGAGGUCCUCUGGAAAGCCUUGCUUUGUUGACUGGUCAUUGCAGCCAUGCUUGACAGCAACAGAGCACCAUUGAAAAUGAGAAGUGCUUGGUGGUCCCUGAGAACAUGCUCCUGCCCUUGAGUGAAUCUCCCCGAAGUUAUUGGGCAAUGACUCCAGAUUGGCCAUGGGAGCCCUCAAAAGCCCAUGUGAAAGAGGGAGACAGGAGAGGCAACCACACUCUUGUUCUUCAAUUCCAUUUUCUUUUCUUCUUGUAUUGCCCUGGGAGAGGUGCAGUGGCAGAUAGAGGUCCCUGGAUGGCAUUUUCCAGAGCAGGGAAAAGUAUAAAAACCUAAGGCAACCCCAUCAAAAGACCAAAUGUGUGUCUAGUACCUUGGGAGGGAUGAUUCCAGACCACACUGUCAAGGUCUUGCCCUCGUUAAAUGCUCUGUCUCCCAUGGAAAGUUCCACUGUGCUGACUAGUCUCUGGUUUUCUGCUGCAUGGUGGGGGUUGGGCAGGUGAAUGAAUGGAUAGUUUCUUCCUGUCUCCGGUACCUGGUGAGUCCACAAGUUAUCUUAGUUGAUCUUUGCAGCAACCCUGUGAGACAUACAGUUGUUAUUUUUGUUUGUCACUGAAGAAAACCAAGGCUCAGAAAGGCCAAAGUGAUAUGUCUUAAGUCACACAUCAAGUAAGUGGCAGUUACAGUUACAGCAAAGAUCUUCCGACUACAUGUCCACAGUUCAUUCCUCUAGUCAUUAAAUGCUUUGACUUUCUAGGUCUUGUAGGGAAAGGUGAAUAACCAAGAGCAAGUCUACCUUAACCCUCUGCUUGUCCAGGAAAGAUAACCAACCAUGAGUCCAUUUUUAUUGCCUCUUCUGAGAUGGGCUCAGGACAGCACUAAAUUAGACAGAGCAGGUCCUUGCCCUAAGACAUCAAGUAUUUGACUGGGAAGAGUGUUGUAGAAAUAGCUACCUCCCUUGCUACCAACACGCAUACACCCCAAAGUCAAACUGAUGGCUUCCCUCUUAUCUACCCAUCUCACUGCUUCCCCCACCAUCACUGUUGACUGGCCUGGCUCACAAGACUAAGGACUUUAACUCUCACUGGGAUUAGAGCCAGUACUAUGGCUGACCCAGAGCAGGCUAUGAUGAAUAUGAUAUGGGGCUGGGGGUAUAGCUCAGUUGGUAGAGUGCUUGCCUUGCAUGCACUUGCAUGCAUGAUUGAUCCAUGUGGUCAUUGAUCCGUGUGAUCAAUGGGCACACAGUUGAUGGUCAGUGAAGAAAGUCCAAGGUGGUUGCUAAAAGAUGGGUGAUUGCCAUAUAAGAAAGGACUCCUCUACCAGACACCACUGACUGAGGGCUGACAAGGAAGCGGGUGGAGGGCUUAGGAGAGCAGAACCCACAGCUGAGGAGGUUGAGCAAAGGCUAUUUCUAAACAAUGUCAUUUGCAAUCAAUAGGAGUUACACAUUUAUGACCUGUGCUAUUGAGGAAUGCUUUUGACUUCAAAUAAGAGAAAACCUGUGUAUAGCAGCUGAAACAUAGGGUCAUUUAAUGUUUACUUAACAGAAGUCUGGAGGGAGAUGAUCCGGCAGCUUACUGAGGCCAAUAAGGACUUGGGCUCCAUAGUUCACUCUGUCAUCUUCAGGCAGUCACACUUUCACCCUCAGGCUGGACUCUCAGACUGUAUAUGCAUCUAUAGUCCCUCAAGGUAGGAGGAGAGAGGUGUGAGUGAGGCCUGAUGGUGCCAGAGUGCACUUUACCCUUUUAUUAGGAAAAUAAAACCUUCCUUAGAAGCUCCAUGCAGACUCCUCAUUGCACCUUAUUGACUUGAACCAGGUCAUAUACACAUUUGUUGAGCAGGGCCAGUGAGUGGGGCAUCUGCCCAGUGCAGGUGAUGUCUCUUCUCCUCUCCCAGCAUCUCUUGCACAUUCUAGAGAGGUUUUGGCUCCAAACUCCAAGCAGGACAUCAACUCACUGCCACAGUCCUUAACUGAAUAAGAAUAAGAAUAUCCUUGGUAAGUCCCUUGAUGGCAGAUUCUUAUUUGUGGGAAUAAAGGCCAAAUCCUGCAAUGCAUUCCUAUUUUAUAUAUAACUAUAAUGCACUAAUGAGUAAAUACAUAGAAGGAAGACCAAUAUAGUAGAGGAAAAAGAUUAGGGAGAGGGCAGAGGG